rnacentral:rRNA from 1 species
GGGGGGGGGUGGGGGGGGGGGUGGGGGAGGGGGGUGGAGGGAGGCUGGGCGGAUGGUUUCGGCGGAAUGGGACCAGAUAUGGCUUAGUGGCGGAGGGGUGCGUAGCACGUGAGGAACCUGACUUUCCGAGGGGGUUAGCGGCGGGCCACGGUCGCUAGUACCGCAUGAUGUGUGCGCGUGGCAUCAUCUUAACAUCAAAUAUUUAUCGCUGAAAGAUUGGCUCGUGUCUGAUUAGAUAGUUGUAGGGGUCACGGCCUACCAAGUCUACGAGCAGUAGCCGGAAUGAGACGUUGAACGGCCACAUUGGGACUGAGACACGGACCAGACGCCUACGGGAUGCAGCAGGUGGGGAUAUUGCACAAUGGGGGAAACCCUGAUGCAGCAAAGCCGCGUGAAGGAUGAAUGUUUUCGGAUUGUAAACUUCUUUUCUUAGUGACGAAGACAGUGACGGUAGCUAAGGAAGAAGCAUCGGCUAACUACG